rnacentral:rRNA from 1 species
AUUGAACGCUGGCGGCAUGCUUUACACAUGCAAGUCGAACGGCAGCGCGGGCUUCGGCCUGGCGGCGAGUGGCGAACGGGUGAGUAAUGCAUCGGAACGAGCCCAGUAGUGGGGGAUAGCCCGGCGAAAGCCGGAUUAAUACCGCAUACGACCUGAGGGUGCAAGCGGGGGACCGAAAGGCCUCGCGCUAUUGGAGCGGCCGAUGUCGGAUUAGCUAGUUGGUGGGGUAAAGGCUUACCAAGGCGACGAUCCGUAGCUGGUCUGAGAGGACGACCAGCCACACUGGGACUGAGACACGGCCCAGACUCCUACGGGAGGCAGCAGUGGGGAAUUUUGGACAAUGGGGGCAACCCUGAUCCAGCCAUGCCGCGUGCGGGAAGAAGGCCUUCGGGUUGUAAACCGCUUUUGUUCGGGAAGAAAUCCUCUGGGCUAAUACCCCGGGGGGAUGACGGUACCGGAAGAAUAAGCACCGGCUAACUACGUG